rnacentral:lncRNA from 1 species
AGCCGCAUAAACCUUCCCACAUGCAGCCUGCAAGUGCCAUCAAGCACACCCAACCUAAGGGAGGGCGUGAGACUGUACUGUCCUGGUGUAACUCACACCAAGGAAUGGGAGAGAUGCUAGUGCAUCCAUGGAAACCUUGGUGGAUUCGAACUUCCCCAGGUCACUGGCUAAAGUGACCUGGCUCAGUUCGGCCUCGAAGGGGGGAGAGAUGUGAUGAACUAGGAAUGUUCUUAAUGUUUUCUCUGAAUACUGUGUUGGUGCCUUAGUGUCCCCAUGGCAGUACUUAAGUAUCUGGCAGAACAAAGGGCCAGUGCACCUAAAUGCCUGGCACUCUGUCUCCUAGCAACUGAUGGCCUGGGCCCCUCCCCUUCAAAGGUGCCAGCUAAAGGUAUUGAAGACAAAGGGAUCAGGUGACCUCCUGGCCCGGGAAAGGAGCUGAGCAGAGAGGAGGGGCUGGGAGGGGUGGUUAGUCUGGAGCUGGCUGGGGUCGAGGAGGGGAGGGCAGACGUGGGGGGUCUGGUUCACUGCCCCCCAAAAUGGACCCUGCCGAGGGGUCCGGUUCACUGUAUCUACAAGCUCUGUUUUAGACCCUGUUCCUGUCAUCGAAUAAACCUCUGUUUUACUGGCUGGCUGAGAGUCACGUCUGACUGCGAAGUGGGGGUGCAGGACCCGGUGGCUUCCCCAGGACCCCACUGAGGCAGGCUCGCUGUGGGAAGCGCAUGGAGUGGCAGAGGAUGCUGAAUGCUCCCAGGAGAGACCCAGGAGGUGAAGCCAUGGGAGCUUCUUGCCCUGAACAAGUCUGCUCCAAGGGAGAGGAGGCUCCCCAAAGUCCUGGCUGGCUUGGUGGGGAGCAGUUCCAGAGCAUCGCCCGGUGACUCCGUGACACUGAGUACACCAGGAGCAAUCAUGAGAAAGAUGCCAAUACAAUCAAAGCCAAUUGGAAUGGAAAAGUUUUGCAGCAUUUGCUCAGCUCUAUUCAGGACCAGCUGUACCUUGUCCAGCUUUGUGGCAAACUCCUCACACCAUCACAUCCACACCAGGUCCCCCAGCCCCUCCUGGAUUGGGACCUGACUGCAGCACAGGGGACACUGUCCAAGCACCCAGAUGCUGCUCAGGCACUGGAGCCCUGGGCACCUCCUGAUGGAUCGGGGGCAGGGGAUCCUGCUGGCUGCUUAUGACGGUGAGUAGGCUACAGGGAGAUGUAAAGGGCUCCUUGGAGCCAAGGCCCAGCUGGUCAAAGUGGUAGCUACCUGAGAACAGCAUGGGAAAGCCUCUCCUUUGGAACCACAAGUGGUCUGGAGGGCAGAGUAGCAAGAAGAGGAAAGCUAGGACCUAGGGUGACCCUCCUGUGCUGAAUUGGGCAGUACAGCUGUGAAAUGCAGAGUUCAAGACUCGGUUCUGGGUUGAAUGACUCCAGGACAACAUUUGUCCUGGAUUCCCAGCAGGGCUGCUCUGCCCCUGCCUGAGGUUCAAGGGGCAGUGCCAGCCUCUUCCCAGGGGGCUGAGAUGGAUCUUAGCCCCAUCCCACCAUGAGGUCCUGCUCCUGCUCCUCCUCUUCCCCCCCAAGGCUCUACUAAUGGGCAGUAGUAAGAGCCAGCCAGGGAGUCUGAGCUGCUGCAGGGAGCCCCAGACCUUCUACCUGUCCUGGACAGCAUGCCCCAAGGGGGUGGUGACACAGGCCCAGGGCUCCCCACAGCAGCCCUGGUUCCCUGGGUGUCUCUUCUGACCCCUGCCUGGCUCUGGCUUCUGGCCUGCCCAGGGGAUGGGACCUCAGCGGGAAGAGGAGGAGCAGGGGCUGGGGCCACAGAAGAGGGCAUGACUCCUGCAUGUGUUCCAUUUUUGCAUUGUGAAAAGGUGGUGAUCCUAGUACAGUGGUCCCGAAACUUUUUUAAAGUACCUCCUCCUCCUUACUCGGUGCAGGGCCCCCAGAGAUGGGGUGAGUGAGGCAGGACAUGGGAGGAGCGAUGUUCCACGGGUGGGGAAUGAGUGGGGCAGAACAGGGGAGAGAGAGCCACGCUCCGGGGUUGGAGGGGUGAGUGGGGCAGGACAGAGGAGGGGAAGCCACGCUCCAAGGGUGAACCUCUCUUGGAUGGAUCAGUUGCUGAGUGCUCCUCCAGACUCCAGCAGCAGCUGCUGCUCUUCCUGCCCCCCUCAGUGGCAGAGGCUGGUUACUGUGAAUACCCUGGCAACCCUAAGCUGGGGCUGGGGGCUGCAACUGGGGCUGGGGUUGCGUAGGGCCAGAGAUGAGCUGGGGCAAGAGCAGAGCUAAGUGGCCCUGCCGCAUCCCCCAGAUGUUCCUACGCACCCUCCGGGGGGCAUACCCCACAGUUUAGGGCCCACUGCCCUAGUAGGAUCCCAGACUGGUCUGACUGACAUGCUGCCUGCCUUCCCUCUGUCCUAGAAGUGAGCUGGCCUAAAGCUGGGCCUGGGGAAAGAUGCUGCCAGGCAUAAGGCAUACUGCCACACAAAUCAAGCCCAGUAGGAUGCCAUAGCUUUGUCACCCCUUCUACAGCCUCCAGCCUCCAGCUCUAGAAGAGAGAUAGUUGAAGGAGGCUCAGGCUGGUGGAGGAGGGGGAGCUACUCUAGGCUCCCAGCUACCACAGUUAAACCUGUACUCCAAUAAAUGUAUGUGGAUUGGAUACA